AGAAGAGGAAGAGCCGGAAGCUCGAGUUCACGGAAGGAGGGUGAGGGAGCUGAUAGAGAAUGAUGAGGUUGAUAGUUAUUCUGCCGGAACCACCGGAAGAACGGGGAGCGAGACAUGGGAGGAGGAAGGUCGCGCGGAGAAAAGGCCCAAGCAGGAAGAAGAGAGCGUAGACCAAAAGCUGCAGAAGAUGAGAGAGCAACUUUUGGCUGAGUUAGGGGCGAAGGACCCCAGCCAAACUCUUCUGCCUACCUCUUCACCCUUCUCAAAGUGGGUGCAGCAGGAGACCGUCCCGAAGAAAUUUAUGAUGCCACCUAUGGCGGCGUACGACGGAGCUGGAAACCCCCGGGAGCACGUCUUGAACUACAA
rnacentral:lncRNA from 1 species